rnacentral:rRNA from 1 species
GAGUUGAAUCAUGGCUCAGGAUGAACGCUGGCGGCGUGCCUAAUACAUGCAAGUCGAGCGAACGGACGAGAAGCUUGCUUCUCUGAUGUUAGCGGCGGACGGGUGAGUAACACGUGGAUAACCUACCUAUAAGACUGGGAUAACUUCGGGAAACCGGAGCUAAUACCGGAUAAUAUUUUGAACCGCAUGGUUCAAAAGUGAAAGACGGUCUUGCUGUCACUUAUAGAUGGAUCCGCGCUGCAUUAGCUAGUUGGUAAGGUAACGGCUUACCAAGGCAACGAUGCAUAGCCGACCUGAGAGGGUGAUCGGCCACACUGGAACUGAGACACGGUCCAGACUCCUACGGGAGGCAGCAGUAGGGAAUCUUCCGCAAUGGGCGAAAGCCUGACGGAGCAACGCCGCGUGAGUGAUGAARGUCUUCGGAUCGUAAAACUCUGUUAUUAGGGAAGAACAUAUGUGUAAGUAACUGUGCACAUCUUGACGGUACCUAAUCAGAAAGCCACGGCUAACUACGUGCCAGCAGCCGCGGUAAUACGUAGGUGGCAAGCGUUAUCCGGAAUUAUUGGGCGUAAAGCGCGCGUAGGCGGUUUUUUAAGUCUGAUGUGAAAGCCCACGGCUCAACCGUGGAGGGUCAUUGGAAACUGGAAAACUUGAGUGCAGAAGAGGAAAGUGGAAUUCCAUGUGUAGCGGUGAAAUGCGCAGAGAUAUGGAGGAACACCAGUGGCGAAGGCGACUUUCUGGUCUGUAACUGACGCUGAUGUGCGAAAGCGUGGGGAUCAAACAGGAUUAGAUACCCUGGUAGUCCACGCCGUAAACGAUGAGUGCUAAGUGUUAGGGGGUUUCCGCCCCUUAGUGCUGCAGCUAACGCAUUAAGCACUCCGCAUGGGGG